GUGCACCUGAAGCAUACUCUCUCUCUGAGCCUUUUUGAGCCACAUGAGAAUCACUAAAUUAUUUACCAGUAUAUCAGCACCAUAUAUGAGGAAGCAGAAUUUCAGAAAAGACAAAAAGAUAAAUAAAAAUAAUUUCUUAGUCUGAAGAUAAGCUGAGCUAUAUGAAGAAUGUAAUAGAUGAAAUGUGAUGCAAGCUGGACGGGACAAUAGAAAUGUCAAGAAAAACAUUUUUUUUUUAAUUGUGGAUAAAGUUCAGAGUUAACCUACUGGCCAAAGGCAUCAGUGCCCAGAAGGCUGGGGUUGGUUCUCAGCCAGAAGGAAGGAAAGAGAUGCUGGUGGGAAGGAGCCCAAGACAUUCCUCCUCUGAGAAGGAGGCCAAACCAGAAGAAUAUUUCAGAAAAUUGAUAUAAUAGAGCCUUGAACCACUCCAGGUGCAGUCCUGUACAGCUGUGGAAAGCUUUGUACACUUUCUAACAACUUCUCCAGGAAAAGGUACAACUGCUUCUACUUUGGUAACAUUUGUCUCUCUGUUAAGGAGACUCAGUGGCCAUUUGAUGACACAUGAUUCACUGGUGAACUUUACAGAAAUAGUCUAAAAGGGAAAAGUUGGCCUUUCAGUCAAUCAGCAACCAAUGAAUUAGUUGGAGUGAGAUGGUUCAGAGAUUUAGUCACUGCUGGGUUCAACCUGGUUUCCAGUGAUGGAUGGGGGUGGAGAUCCAGGCAGUGAGGAAACAGGAAAAUGUAAGAUGAGAAAGAUGUAACUAUAGAGGUCAGUGGGGGCAGGACAACUGUAGCAUCUUGUUUCCUUGAUUAACUACUAUUUAAAUUCAUAAUUUAACCCCCAGGAGGGGGUUCCAGUAGAAGGUCCUUGCCCACUGAAACAGGACCCUUUCUGAACGAUGAAAGGAGAUUCUUCCAAUAGGAAUGUGAUGGUAUAUUUUGGAGAUGAUCAAAGAAGGAGAUAGACUGUACCAUGAAAAUAAUAAAUGUCAAUGUUGUUUAGCACCCAUUACCUCACAAUUUAUGAGUCAAUGUUUGUGCAGACUUCUGAGUUCAUAAGGUAAGAGUAAAUAGAAAUAAUUACCAUUAAAUACCAAGUUUUUCAGUCCUCACCCCAAAGGCUGUAUUUACAGAAGCAGUCUUAAACACCUCUCUGAAGAGCCGUUAGCCAAACUGAUGAAAGAGGAAGAUCCUUUCUGAGAGCACUAUAAUUCAGCAAUCACAGCAACAUCUUGGUGUUGGAAAGAACAUAGAGCAGCACUGGAUUAAGACAUACUGAACCACAAGUUCAUAGUUCCUUCUUUCCCAUCAAAGAUACGAAGAAUUGAUCUUUUUAAAGCCACAGCUUCUUUGUUGAUAAAAAUGGGGAUAAUAAUAGCAGUUUUUCAAGGUUGGUAUGAAGACUAAGAAGAACAUGUGUAAAAUUCCCAUCAAAAUGCUAGCAUUGGGGAGCCUGGGUGGCUCAGUCGGUUAAGAGUCCGACUUCAGCUCAGGUCAUGAUCUCACAGUUCGUGGGUUCGAGCCCCGCGUCAGGCUCUGUGCUGACAGCUCAGAGCCUAGAGCCUGUUUCAGAUUCUGUGUCUCCCUCUCUCUCUGCCCCUUCCCUGUUUACACUCUGUCUCUGUCUCAAAAAUAAAUAAACAUUAAAAAAAAAUUUUGAAUGCUAGCAUAUAUUAAAGUUAAAGUGAAUUGUAGCUAUUACAAUGGUGGUCAGAGCUAACCGAUAAAAAGCCUUAUAUGCUAACUACUUUGUGUACUUUCUUCUACCUUUUCUUUUAAAUCCAUUGACUCUAUGCUAGUAUUUAACUUUUUGCCUCAUACUUAUUUUUACCUCUCUGACCAUCUGAAGAUUAAUUGUGCCCCACUGUCUGCUUGACUUUUUCAUCCCAGCUUUACUCCUCAGUGUUCUAUACUAUAUCUCCCCUUGACUCCAUGAUCUGCAUCUAAUGGGCAAGUUCCAUCCAGUCUCUACAUCUACUUUAGAAGUGGGUAGUCAGGGAAUAUCUGUGAAGACUUUAUGGAUGAACUAGGAUAUGAGUUACACCUUGAGAACAAGCAAAAUUGAAACUCAAGAGGACUGUAUGUUUUCUUUUCAAUAUUCCAUAUAGACCACCAAGUUAUGUUUUGCAUUUGCCAUUAUAAUUGCAUCUUUUCUUACUUCAGCAUUUUGGUAUAGCAUUUCAGUAUUCCAAGAAUGAAUGACAUCAUUGUCAGGGACAAAAGAGUUGGCUUAAUUUUUGUCGAUAACAAGCUGGGUUGAUUAUUUCCUGAUGAUACGAUAGUACCUUAAUUCAGAGAUUCCUGUGCUGGUGGAAUCAUGAGUUCAGUUGUCUUCAAAUUGUGAUUUGUGAAGGCCUGGAGUACUAAAAAGAUAUUACACGGCUCUUCAUGGGGAAUCUAGAAGGGGAGAGCAAAUCAAGAUGCAGGCUGCUUGGCUCCAACCCAAGCAUUCCACUUUUAUUGCUCCAUAUCGGAUUCUAGAUAAGAUUUUAUUUAGAAAAUAAAAAAUAAUUACACAACUUGAAAAAGAAUAACUUUGGAGACUCUCUAUUUCAUAUAUGAGAAAGCACAAUCUAGUCUGUUAGCAUGCCAAUAUUAUACUAUUUAUUUUUAAACCAUUUAUGCAUUUGGCUCAGUGAAUACUUAUUGAACAUCUACUCAGUGUGUGGUGUGCUGCUCAGGUCUGAGGACAAUGCAAAAAACAAAACAAAACAAAACAAAUAGUCCUGCCCUUGAAGAAGAAAUAGCCCAGGGUAGCAGUGAUUGCUGGCUGUCUACUCAAAAUCCCUCCUUCCCUUCUUCCUUACCAUGUAAAGGCAAGCAUCGAUGUGCCCAAUGAAAAAGUAACACUUCCCAGUCACCCCUGUAGCUAGGGGUAGACAAUAAAAAGUCAGGUAAGGUAUUGGGUGAGACUUCCAGGAAAGCACUAUAGAAGGAAACUAAACAGAGUAAAUCCAUCUUUUAUCCAUUGCUUUCUCUUCCUUCCUACUGUCUGAUAGGGAGACAUAAUUGCUGGAGUUCUCCUGGACAUGCGGCAACCUAGGGAUGGAAACCAUGUGCUGUGGAAGUUUAGAAAAAUAGAAGGGUCCUAGAAACAUGAUGACUUUGAAGUUGACACACCAGCACAGGACUGCCCAUUUAUUGAUUUCCUUUGUAUAAAUAAAAAUAAGCCUCCAACUUGUUUAAGUCACUGUUAUUAUUUUUUAAUAUUAAACAAAACCUAAUCCUAAUGGACAAGAAGACAAGUAAAGAGGCAAAUUCAGAAGGAUGAUAAAUUAUGAUAGGGAUAGAAUUUUUUAGAGAACCAUGAAGUUUAAAUGUAACCCAAGCACUGGGGUUUGGGAAAGGUUUCUUAGAGAAGUGAUAUCUAAACAGAAUCCUGUAAACUGAGUUGAAGUCAGCCAAAUAAAGAGUAUGGGAAACAGGGAUAUGGAGCAGUGAGUGCAAAAACCUGGGGGGAUGGGGAGUAGGGAGAGGAUCCAAUGCCUUCUGGGAAUUUAAAGUAUUUCAGUAAAGAUAGUAGGAAGAGGGCAUGGGUGGGGGAGUGGUAAGGCAUGAGAAGGGGUCAUAAAGUGUCUUGCCUGACUAAAAAGGGAGGCCACUAAAGGAUUUUAAGCAGGGAGUAAUAUGAUAAUAUUUGGAUUUUAGGCAUAUCAUUCUAAAUUGAAGUGAUGGAAAACCAAUUAGGAGGCUGUUUUAAUAAUACUGUCAAAUUAGAGCCAAAAAAAAGGUUAAGAAAAGGGAAAUUUAAAGAAUGUGGUUAUUGAUCAAAUUGGAUGAAGCAGUUGAAUCCAUAAGAAAGAAGGAAGAAUCAAGGUUAAUGUCUGGGUUCUUAGGUUGGUAAUUUCAUUCACUGAUAUAAAGAAUCCAGGAAGAGGAGCAGGCUUGUUCUCUUCAAAGGUCACCAAAAGAUGACCUAGAUCUGCACAUGAACACUUGUACAUGCCAGUCAUAAAAGGCCCUAUAUCACUCAAAAUACUAUCAGGAAGCAAAAUCCAAUUCAAAAGAUUGAAGAAACUUUCAUGUAAGUAAACCUUACAGUGUUGUGGUUGGGAUUAAAGAAACCAUUAAGGGAUGUUGAGGAGCCCAAAGAUCCUCAAUGGUGGAGAACCCUUACCACUCUGUAGGCCUCAAAUGGUAAGAGUAGAAAAUAGUGUUACUAGCAAGCCAAGCUGGAGGACCAAGCUGGGAUAACCAGCAGAGUCAUGUGCUAAACACUUUAAAUAUAUUAUGUCUUUUAAUUCCCACAGUGAGAUAGGUAUUAUUAUUACAUGAAUUUAUAUAACUUUCCCAAAGACACAAAGCCAAAAAGUUGCCAAUCUAAGUCUCCUAACCAUCUCUGACUUCAACAUCCAUACUCCUACCUUCUGCAAUGAUCGGUUUUUUUAAUCAAAUCCUUAUUGAGCCGCUUCUGUAGCAGGUACUGCCAGAGGUAUUGGCCAUAGACUAAUGGACAAAAGCAACAUGAUCCUUCCUCUCAUAUAAUUUUCUUACCUUUGGCGGGGUACAGAUCUGCCAUUCUGCUAUAUUCCCUAAACUAGUGUGGGAGACAUCUCUCUAACCCCCUCAGACCUUCCUCUUCACAAACAACAUCAUGGAGGUUUGAGUGUUGUUGGCAUAUGUUCAUUCACUUUCCUGAGAACCAAAGGAAGGGAGGUGGGACUUAGGCAGAAGAGAUUUUUUUCUGCUGUUUGUCUCAAAAUUUGUUGGAGCUCAAUCUCCACAUCCAGUAAGCCUGGCUGAAGACCCAGCUGGUACCACAACAGCACAUACGGUGUUGCUGGGAAGAGGUGUUCUCCUGCUUCAGUGUGUUCACCCAGGAUGAAAAGUCAACCAGAAUGACAUUCUGUGCUUCUGAUUUUAGGUCCUUGAGUAUUUGGUCAUUUGUUGUCUACAGUUUGUUUCACAGUAGACCUGCUUCCAAAUUGUAGCCCAUCUAGUAAGAAGCUGCUUAGCCUCGAGGUUUUCCUCAAUUGUGGCUGAGCUGCAGUUGAAGAAUUGGCUCAAGACAAAAUAUUUCGGUUCUUUCCCACAGUUUAUUCAUGCGUAUAGCCCAUGCCUCUCUGACUGGUGGACAUUAUUGGCGGCUUUCAUAUUUGUUUGUUUGCUUAUUUCUGCAACACCUGAAUUUCACUUAAUUUCUGCAACACCUUAAUGACACUUGCUGCACUGUGUUGAGAAACUAGUGUUUUGUAUACAUUAGAUUGAACUUGUGUCUUGAUAAUAACUGUUGGAUUUGUAGUAUGAGGUUAAGACCUUUCUAAAAGUCAAUAGAGAUCAUUUUUAUUGCUCUUUUUUUUAGUUCUGUUGGUUAGCUUUACUGCUACGAGGGAGUAAAACCCUUGUAAAUGUGCCCUUUUCUUACAAAUUCUCCAAACAUGUUUUAAAAAAUACAUGCUUCAGAGCGAAUUUGGUUGUAGCAAAUAAAAGAAGAUCAAGUUCCCCUAAUAGGUGACUAAAUGAAGAAGAAAAUAAAGAAGUUAGGCAAAAGAGUUAUUUUAAAGUGAGUGGGUUCAGAUGUUCUGUUCUUAAAUUUGAAAUGAAAAUAGGAUGUUAAAACAGAAAUCUGCAUAGAGUUGCAAAUAUGGCCUUGCACUCAAACUCCAGCCGUGGCUUCAGUGAAUAAUGGGAUAAACAGAGCACACUGUGGGAGGAGUAGAAACCUUGGGAGACGAUUACAGAGGAGGAAAAGGAGCUGGAUUCAGCAAAGGAGACAGAUAACUGACGGAGGUUUGCACAUGGUGCAUUUCCUUUUAAGUGUUUUUUAUUGGGUUUAAUAUCAAGAAAUUCUUUAUCUCUGGUUACAGAUUUUUCCUUCUAUCACUGAUGUUUCUUCAUUCUCUGCUUUGCAUGUGCUUUAUCUUUCCCAAUUAAUUUAGACACAUUUCCCUUAUUAAGAUAACAUAUAAAUAAGGUAGCAAUUCCAACUGGAUAUCCUUAUCAGAGCAAACCUAGGUAUCGUGUGGUAAAACCUCCAUCAUGAAAUGAAUGUUAACAAAUCAUUUUCAUAGGAAGUGUCCCUUUUAUAGACAACUUCAUGCUCAGUGAUUAGCCCAGGAGUAUGACUCCUAAAUUAAAAGGCAUUUUCAUGCUAUUUUUCAUUUGAUCAUGAGAUACCUUUCAUGCUGUUAAUUCUCCUUUGGUAGCAAUAGUUACAGCCAAGGUCUGCCGGUCACAGAUGUACUCCCCUAGUAUCAAACCUCUCUAUUCAUUUAUUCAACAUGCCUUAAUGAAGCCUCUAUAACAUCACUUGUUAUGUGCUGAAAACAAUUCAAAAAUAAUACCUGAGAGUCUCUAUCUUCAAGGAGAUUACUGUUAAUGGAUUACUAAUAGUCAUGAGAGUCAAUUUUUUAAUUGUUUUUUUUUAUUAAAGGCUUUUGGUACAUCUAGAACUUUGUACCAAUGUAGAAAUAAUCAUUAUUUUCAAAUGGAAAAAUCUACCUGAUUUAUUCAAAAGGGAAAGGAAACAUGUAUUUAGGAAUAAAGGAAACUGAACUCUUUUUCCAAUUGAAGGUUUCUCUCAGAAGCUACUGGCUUUAAUGGGAUUAUCGUUGAAGAAUAUUAGCCUUGAGUCAGUGUGCUCUUCAGUGGUUGAGAAUAAUUUUCAAAAAUUAUAAUUAAUGAUUAUUAAGUGAGUCAAUAAUAUAGACCCUCCUUUUGUCCAGCAUGAGGCUAGGUAAGAGAAAAUUUUUAGAGUAAUUAUGACAUAAAUUGAGAACCGGAAAUAACAUAUAAAAUAAGUUUAAAUACACUGCCUAUGCAGCGAUACUUGAUAGUUUACAGACAACUAAUUUAUUUGAUUAUAUACUAUUCUGUCUUUUGAACUGGCAUAAAUAUGGUAGAGCAGACAAUCAGGACUGAUAUAGCAGGACAGAUUAAAACAUUACAGAAGACAAGGAAGGGAGAAACCAUUUUGGACUGGAGUGGUAGACAAUGUAGUCUUCUUUAUUUACUUUAUCUUUUUAAAUUCUGUUUUCCCAGCCAGGGCCUUUAGAUGCUUCUGUAUUCAUUCUGUAACUCAAUUGUAGUGCAGAUUUGAAUGAACAAUUAAGAGGGGAAAACACAUUAUUAAAGGCAGGUGGAUAGGAAACAGAAUAAAAUUUCUAUAAAAAUCACCAUCGAAAAGAAUACAAAGAGAGGUGAAUAUGUGACAUUUCUUUUACAGCCACUUCCUCAUUUUUACUAGACCCACUGCCUGGAUUCCUUUGUGCACUGAGUAUGUUGUGGGCCAAGUCUAAUUUCUCAUGAAUGUUGUGUUCUGAUCAUAACUCCUGCCAGAAAUUUGGAGCAGUGUUGUUCAGAUCAACCUGGACAACAAUUACGUGCUCUGUGCACAUGUUUAACUAAACCAGUGAUCAGAAAUGACACUUUGCAGCAAAACGGCAAAGUUGGAAACGACAUCCAUGAUGGACCAGCUGCCAGUCUUGAAGAAUCUGGUCUCCAUCUGCAUUUAGUGCGUUAUCCUUUGGAUUAUUUUGUUAGUGUGGGUAAAUUUGCAAACUGGAGAAAAUGGGGAUAUACCAGAAACUUAGAAUGGAUUUAUAGGAGAUUUUCAAACUACCUGCAUGGCUUUCUUCAGUUCUUCUGUUUAUGUCAAUGAGUUCCCUGUGGCCUCAUGAGCAAAGUUGAGGAUGAAGACUUGAUUAUGAAAGGAAAAAUAGAACUUCAAUUAGGAAAAGCCAUUGUAUGACUUUACAGGUAAAAGGAAAUGUGUGGCCCAGUAGUGAAUUCUCCGUUUUCCUAUUUGUUUGUGAUUACUUGGGUUUUGAAAGCUGGAAAGGAUACCCUGUACAUUCCUGUACAUUGUUCCUUCAGUUCUAAAAUAAACACAUGAUUCUCAUUACAAGAAAAAAAUUUCUAACUAUGUAUGGAAACAGAUGUUAACUACACUUACUGUGACCAUUUUACAAUAUAUACAAGUAUCAAGUUAUUUUGUUGUACACCUGAAACUAAUAUAUGUUACAUGUCAAGUAUAUCUCAAUUUUAAAAAUAAAUUGGGGCACCUGGGUAGCCCAGUUGGUUAAGCGUCUGACUUCAGCUCAGGUCAUGAUCUCAUGGUUUGUGGGUUCGAGCCCUGUGUCAGGCUCUGUGCAGACAGCUCAGAGCCUGGAGACUGCUUUGGAUUCUGUGUCUCCCUCUCUCUCUACCCCUCCCCGCUUAUACUCUGUCUCUUUUUGACUCUCAGAAAUAAAUAAAAUGUUUAAAAAAUUUAAUAAAAGUGAAUUAAAAAUAAAUAAAAUUAACACAUUAAAGAAAAUUCAAAUAUAUAAAACUUGCUCCAACAGGCCCUCAGUAUGGGAUAUGAUAAUGUGCAUGAAGCCAAUGGGCAGAAUUUGUGGGAAAAUUUCACUACUAGUUAAUAAAAAAACAAGGCCUGCGUUUACACAUGUGAUAAUUUGAAGCCUAAGGUUGAGGUGAAUACUUUUCAUAAGUGAAACUCACAGUUGUACAAUGGAAUUAAUUUACCAAAAUACUUUUGUCGAUUUAAAAUAGGCAAGAGGUGGGGCACCUGGGUGGUUCAGUCAGUUGAGCGUCCAACUUCAGCUCAGGUCAUGAUCUCACAGCUCGUGAGUUCAAGCCCCACAUCGGACUCUGUACUGAGCUCAGAGCCUGGAGCUUGCUCUGGACUCUGUGUCUCCCUCUCUCUCUGCCCCUAACAUACUCACAUUCUGUCUCUGUCUCUCUCAAAAAUAAAUAAACAUUAAAAAAAAUUUUUUUAAUAGUCAAGAGGUUAGCUAUGUUAAAAAAAAAAAAGCCAAGAGACAUAGACAAAAGCCAUCAACCUCCUUUCUUGAAGUACACAUUAACUUUAUAGCAUGGGCCUUAUUUCUUACCUGUAAUUUAAUAAACUAGGAUAGUAAUAAAACAAAAUAGUUAAAGGGAAGAGCUAUAAUACAUUAGCUAGUAGUUUUUAAAAAUUAAGUAAACUGAAAGAAGAUACUACCAGAUACAAAGAUAAAAUAAGAAACCAGAAUAAAAUAAAGAAGAUGGAGUGAAAACAAAAGUUAUGAAAGAAAACUAAAGGCAAUGCGUGCGUUAAUAAAAAAAAAUAGAUUGGGGCACCUGGGUGGCUCGGUCAGUUAAACUUCCAUCUUUGGCUCAGGUCAUGAUCUUGAGGUCUGUGAGUUCAAAUUCCACUUUGGGCUCUGUGCGGACAGCUCAGAGCGCUGAGCCUGCUUCAGAUUCUGUGUUUCCCUCUCUCUCUGCUCCUCCCCCACUCACGCUCUAUCUCCCUUUCUCAAAAAUACGUAAACAUUAAAAAAAAAAAAACUAGAUUUUAAAAAUUGUAUAAAUUAAUAAGAAAAGACAAAAUACAUUUGAAUGAUUAAACUGAAGGGGUAAAGGAUGUAAAUAAAAAUGGUGUUAAGAUAUAAUCAGGAAUUUAAUAGAAUAGGUAUUAGGAGAACAUAAACCAAACAGGGGUGUGUGUCUGUGUGUCUGUGUAUCUUAUGUUUGUUACAUUAAAAUGACACCAAUUCAAAAGCUAUUGCAGUCAUAUUAAGUCAAUUACUGUUCUCAAAGUGAAAAGGCCACGAAGUUCAGCAUUUUGCCUCUUUUUUACCCUUCUGUGCAUGGAAUUAUUUCAUGGGUCCGAUGGCCCAUCGGUCCCGUGGCCAAAGAACUGAGGGGCUGCCAGAGGACACCCAGGCUGCUCCUCUGUGCUUCCCUUAACUGUCCCCUGUCACUGUUGUCCUGACCAAGAGACACCUUCAUCAGGGGAAAACACUCCUCAGUGAGUGUGGAGCCAAGAAUUCCAUUGUUUCAUAACAUGCAUAAUACUAGAAAGUAUUAUGCUAAGCAAAAUAAGCCAGCCAGAGAAAGAUAAAUACCAUAUGAUUUCACUCACUUGUGGAAUUUAAGAAACAAAACAAAUAAACACAAGGGGGAAAAAAGAGGAAAACCAAGAAACAAACUCUUAACUAUAGAGAACACACUGAUGGUCACCAGAGGGGAAGUGGAUGGGGGAUGGGUUAAAUAGGUGAUGGGGAUUAAGGAGCACGCUUGUAAGGAACACGGGAUAUUGCAAGGAACUGUUGAGUCACUAAAUUCUACAUCUGAAACUAAUACUACAUUUCAUGUUAACUAGCUGGAAUUUAAAUAAAAACUUAAAAAAAAAUUCCAUUGCUUCCGCCCCACCCAGUAGGGACAAGCAUAUUAUGAGGUGUGAUUGAUUUUACACCAUUUUGGCAGCAGAAGUCAGUCAUUACAUUGAUAAGGAAAUUCAUUAUCCAGAUUCUAUUUCACGUGAUUUGGCCAAACCUUUCCUGCCUGAUCAUAGUCAAAGCUAUAUUUUCCCCUAAAUAAUGAGGAUGCAAAGCCUUUGGAAAAUGUUUACCUGUCAGUUACUGACAAUCAGACUUAAAAUGUUGAAAGCUGAUUAGAUGUGGUCCUUUUAACUGUACUUUGGAAGUCAGAAUUAGCAUCAAAUAGCUCAUUAAUUACUGUAAAAAUAUCAAUAUUAUCAUUGGUUAAAAACAGCUCUAAUGUAAUAUUAUAUUGUAAGUAUUUGUAGUUUUAUUAUAAAAUCAACUGUGUAUUCAUAUUCUUCACCUUGAAAAUGUCUCAUUACAUUAUAACUCUAAUCCCAAAUUAUUGUUUUGAUUUAAUGUCUUUUUGCAUUCUUUUAUAAUUUUAAAUGUUUCAUAUUUUUAACUGAAUGAACAUGAAGAGAUACUUUAAUUUGUAAAGCUCUAAUUACAUAUCACUAUUUUAAUGUGUUUUCUUUAUCAGACACCUCAACAUUCUUUCCACAUCUGAAACAGCUCACCUUAAACUACUUAUCUAGAUAGCUUUCAAUCUUCUACAGUCUCCGGGAUGUAAUCAGGCAGUAAGGAGGAUGCCUCCCUACCUUUUUAUUUUUCCUCUAGAUAUUAUAAUGUUACUGGCCUCCCUUUAAAAAUAUUGCAUAGUUUGGUUUGGAAGAAAAUGAUAUCAUUUGUAGCUAUUACUGGAAAAGUUUGUCAUCACCUCAGUAAUAUUCCUCCUGGUUAUUUCAUAUCUUGGCAGUGGUAUGCCCUUCAGAAAACAUAAUAAAGUAAUGGAAUUGAACUCUCCCCAAGUAUUCCUUAAGAACUUUUUUUGUCCUGAAAACCUUCUUCCUUAGAUUUUUGCUUAUUAGUUCAAAAGCCCAUUCUUGCCUAUAUCCUGUCAGAGAUGCACAAAAAAAUGCUUUCAUAGUACAAAUGUAUUUCAAGAUAUUCAUUGGUGUGGCAGAGAUAUUUAAGGGUCUCACCGAAAAACCCCCAUCAGCUAAUGUUUCCCAGUAGGAUGACCCUGUAGAAAUCACUAGAAUACAUAAUGUUGGAGAAAUUUACAGUCUAUCAACAGGAUGCAUUGGACAUUGAGCCAUAAACUAGGUGCUGACCUGAUUCAGAGUUGAGAAAAGGUAGAAUCCCAUAACGGUCACUCCCAAGAAACAGUUUGAGGAAAAAACACAACCACUUUGUAAAGAAACUAAUAUUUCUAUAACUAGAGUUUUCCUUCCUGAACUUGUAUGAGAAAAAAAAGUUUGUGAUAUUUAAAGAGAGUCUCUCUAGUAUAUCCUGACAUUGCAGAAUUUUAUUUUAUUUUAUUAAUGCUAUUUAUUUAUUUUGAGAGAAGAGAGUGUGAUCAGGGAAAGGGCAGAGAGAGAGGGAGAGAGAGAAUCCCCAGCAGGCUCUGCACUAACAGCGCAGAGCCCAACAGCCUGACGCGGGUCUCAAUCUCGCGAACUGAUCCAUGAGAUCAUGACCUGAGCCAGAAUCAAGAGUCAGACGUUUGACUGAGCCACCCAGGCACCCCCUAACAUUGCAGAAUUUUAAAAUGUAUUCUAGUAGCUCCAUAGAUGCUGCUCUUUCUUAACAAAACUAUGAUUUCUUUUUUUUUUUUUUAACUAACUGUCCUGGCACAUAGAAUGAGUGUACAAAAUUUAAGUCAAGCUACAAGGAAUUAAUUCAAAGUACGUUAAGAAAAUAUAAAACGGAACGUAAAGCUAUAUAAUACAGAUUUGCAUAGCAUUUACUAUGAGUCAGCCACUGCUCUCGACACUUCGUAUAUUUUAGCAUGUUUAAUCUUCCCAAGAAGACUGUGAGAUGUACCAUAAAUUCCAUUUUUCAGAUGUAGAAACCCAAAUGCAGAAAUCAGCUUACAAUCACAGAGAACAAUUAUUUCAUCCCAAGGAAUCUGGUUCCAGAGCUGCUCUUGUAAGCACUAAGCUACAGUGUCUCUUAAUUACCUCACAAAUCUCCACUUGGAACUAGAACAAGACAUUUCUUGUAUCAAUACUGAUUUCACUAGAUCUACCAAUAAGAACAAGGAGAACAAGGAGAACUUGGGAUGGGAAAGAAGACAGCAAACAAAGAUGCCGUACUAUCAAAAUGAAAAGAUGCCAAAUAAAAUCAAAAUAUGAUCUGAAACGUGUGAUUAGGAACUAAAUAUCUAAACAGAACAGAAAACCAAUACCCAGCAAAAUAUUAAAAUGUAAUUCUUAGGGGAAAAAUAUCACUGGAGGAAAAAAAAUGGCUUUAGCUUUCUGAUGAAGGCCUUGAAGUCAGAGUCCUUACGCUGCAUGCAGAAAAUAAAUUUACCAGGAUGCCAACUGAUGUGCUCUGUUUAAAGAUAAAAUUUAAAUAUUUGACUCAGGUCUUCAUCACACAGACUCAAUAUCAUUCAGUCAUUACAGAUAUGUGUGUCCUAGCAAAGACAUGAUUUUCUAGCACAUGAAAUACAUUCUAACAAUAAUAUGCUUUUAAAUAUAUUAAGUUGGCAAUGAUACAAGCAAAAUAAUUCUCAUGUCUACUCGGUGUAUCUCUGUGUCCAGUGCUGUCAUUUUCAGCUGCAAAGCUCAUUAUAAUAACUUGCUUUUAUUCAUGUAGCAUGAAGUAUUCUACUGAACAUUGCUUUAGUCAAAAUGUUGAACGAAUAUAUUUUUAAAAAUCAACAUAUGAAGACCAUCUCACUCUAUCUUGGUAGAUUGAUUCUUGUCUAAUCAAUACACAUGAGAAUAGCUUCAAAGUCACAAAUCCAGCUCCUCCAAAACGGCCAAUGAACACAGUAGGUAUUUGACCAAUAUUUCUUACAUGAAUGAAUAAAUAUAUGCAUCUUGCCACAUAAGCAAAAAAGCAGAGUGUGUUUCUUUGAAUAUGAUGACAUAGAAACUUGAGUUUCUCUUUCAACUUGCUAUUUCAGGGUAGCAGAAUAUGUCACCCCAAAAUAUGCCACUCUGUCAUAAAGAUUAUUUUGAGCGGAAGGCAGUUGACAAGAAGCAGAUAUAAGAAAAGCUCUCUGUCCUUCCCCAUCUGCCUAAAACCAGAACAGAAAUUUGUAGAGGUGCCCUCUCCUUGUCAUGUACAUGUUCAUCAUCUUCUGUUUGUUUUUCUCUUGUUAAUCUGUCUUCUAUCAGUUUUAUUUGCUGGGCCUUGGUCAAUGAAUCUAAGAUAGGUAAAAGGAAAAAAGUUUUUCUUUCCUAUAUUGGUAAAGUGAGGUAUAAAAACACAGGGCAGAAAUCACAUCAGGACCAUAAAAUAAACCAUAAUAAAAUAAAAUUCAAUUAAAAAGACCAAUCAUUUAUAAGAAAUCAGUGUUUCUUAGUUAAGAAAUUGAGUUGAUAAAAACACAUAAUGAGUUGCUAUUGCUGACACUCAACCUCUUGAACCAGGCUAAGACCCCUCAAAUUGUGCUCAACUCAGAAGCAAUGAAAGCACGUUGAUUCAGGGGAGGAGAUAAAUUAGAACUGUUGAAAACUCUAUUCCUGGGACACCUGGGUAUCUUAGUCGAUUAAGUGUCCAACUCUUGAUUUCAGCUCAGAUCAUGUGUCUCAUGGUCUGUGAGAUUGAGCCUGCAUUGGAAUUCUCUCUCUCUCUCUC